GUGCAUUGUAGUUGCAUUGCAUGUGAUCUAAACUGUGCAACACAAUUACAUUGCAACC
rnacentral:pre_miRNA from 1 species